AAAUAAGUGAAGAAGUAACAGGGAGUUUUUCCUGCUUGGUUUGUGCUGUGUUGAGUUGAUAGAAGACAUGUACUUCUCAGAAGCUCUGGGAAGUGCUUUUAAAUGUCUCUAACAUGCCUGGAAGAGUCUGAAGGCAUUUUAUUUAUUGAGGACUAAGAUUGGAAGGUGGUGUUAAGUGGCCAAAAGCAACUACGUCCUGGGCUUCACCACUGAGCUAGAUCUGCCCAUACAUGCUGGAAGGGCUUCUUGUGCAUUCAGGAAGAGCAGUGUAAGUUGCGCUACUAAAGUCCUGGUGGCAUCUGCGAGCAACCGGCCUCGGGGGGACACUACACGUCUGUAAUUGCAUUUUGUCACCUACAGAGGGUGUUAAGAAUCUUGUUAAAAAUAAAGGAAAUAGUUAAGAGACA